rnacentral:rRNA from 1 species
UGGCGACGGGUGAGUAACGCGUGGGGAACCUGCCCUGUACAGGGGGAUAACACUUAGAAAUAGGUGCUAAUACCGCAUAAGCGCACAGUAUCGCAUGAUACAGUGUGAAAAACUCCGGUGGUACAGGAUGGACCCGCGUCUGAUUAGCUGGUUGGCGGGGUAACGGCCCACCAAGGCGACGAUCAGUAGCCGGCCUGAGAGGGUGAACGGCCACAUUGGGACUGAGACACGGCCCAAACUCCUACGGAAGGCAGCAG